CGCCCUUAGAGUUUGAUCAUGGCUCAGGAUGAACGCUGGCGGCGUGCCUAAUACAUGCAAGUCGAACGAAAAGAUGCUUGCAUCUUUGAGUGGCGAACGGGUGAGUAACACGUGAAUAACCUGCCUUAUAGUAGGGGAUAACAUUUGGAAACAGAUGCUAAUACCGUAUAAAACAAUUUUGCAUAAAAUUUGUUAAAAGGCGUUCGCGUCGCUAAAAGAUGGAUUCGCGCUGCAUUAGUUAGUUGGUGAGGUAAAGGCUCACCAAGACGAUGAUGCAUAGCCGAGUUGAGAGACUGGUCGGCCACAUUGGGACUGAGACACGGCCCAAGCUCCUACGGGAGGCUGCAGUAGGGAAUCUUCCACAAUGGGCGAAAGCCUGAUGGAGCAACGCCGCGUGUGUGAUGAAGGCUUUCGGGUCGUAAAGCACUGUUGUAUGGGAAGAAUGGCUUAGGUGAAAAUCUAAGAUUGACGGUACCAUACCAGAAAGGGACGGCUAAAUACGUGCCAGCAGCCGCGGUAAUACGUAUGUCCCGAGCGUUAUCCGGAUUUAUUGGGCGUAAAGCGAGCGCAGACGGUUGGUUAAGUCUGAAGUGAAAGCCCACAGCUCAACUGUGGAAUUGCUUUGGAAACUGGCCAACUUGAGUGCAGUAGAGGUAAGUGGAACUCCAUGUGUAGCGUGGAUGCG
rnacentral:rRNA from 1 species